ACCGUCCCAUUUCACAAGCCUCGGACUUCCGGCCUUAGCGGUCUUUGAGUACGCGGCCCUUGAGGACCGUUGAGGCUGCGUACUUUAAGGCUGCAGAUCCUGACUGUCAAAGUACAACAGGAAACCUAACACAGAGAUGCGGACUUGACACUGAGACAGAGAGACGUGACUGAGGGAGGGAGUAGCACCGAUCUCUCACCUUAAGAAGUGACAGGAACGCGGAGAUAAUGAGCAGCAGUUGAGGAGCCUUUCAGGACACCUUUCACUGCGUAACUAUGCAUGUGACAAAUAAAGGAUCUUGAAUCUUGAACAAAGACCUUCACACACUGAACACGCUGCAAACACGAUACUCUGGACUUUUUAUAUCAAGCGUGUGGUGCAGUGUAUACUCACAGCAAAUACGUUUCUUUGAAUGAGUCCUCCAAAAACAUGAAGCAAUGACAAGCUGCCCAGAUGAGCGGAGUCUCCGGAGCAGGCAGCGGGAUUUCCGGGUUCCAUUGCGGCAUUGAAGCUUUUGUCUGCGUUUUGGGAAGUCAGCGCGAUCAGAGCCGACUGACCCAGCUGCAAGUAUUUUACCAUUUCCAUCUCAUUGGAUAGUCAGUUCUGGAUAUUCAGUCCAUGCGUCUGUGCCAAAUGCAGCAACCUGAUUGUUCAGAUGUUUUUGGAUAUUUGUUUUGGGUCUGAAUAAACCGAUUGAGAGCAGACAGAAAUGAUUAACACCGCACACCCGUCCUGUGACUGUGUGACAAGCAUCAGACCGCAGCAGAAUCUGAGGAACCCUCACCUGACGGGCUCUGAUGAUGUCACCGAGCUGAUGUUCCAGGUGUUCAUGAAGAAGAUCCAGAUCAACAGGUGAAAGGUCAGACCUUCAGGAAGUCCUCUCCUUUCCUGGUGUUGACAUCAGAUCAGUGAUCGCCGAUUGUUGCGUGUGUAGCGUUGGCUGCAGCUCGGGUGGUGGAGAGCAGGUCACCUGCUAAGGGGAAAGUUGGUAGCUUGAUCCCCGCCUGCACGCUGGUGUGAAUGAGCGAGUGUUCAGCGCUAUAGAACAGCCGGUCCAUUUACCAAAGCUUUAUCCUGAUGAGCUGUGGUUACCAUGGUAACGGUGACAGGUCAGUUUAUUUAAACACUCAGGAAAGUUCUUUCAAAGGUUUAUUACAAAACGCAAGACAAACAUGUCAACUGGUUUAUUCUAUCAGCAAACACGACACAAUGAACGACCUAUCAGCAGUCGGCGCUGCAAACCCAACAAACCAACACAACAUGGAUCUAAGAGCGCCGUGGACAGAGGAGAACGGCGGCUUCAAGGCCCGAAACAAACCAGAACAUGGAGGCGCGGGAGGAGCCUUGUUUUGUACAGAACGCCACCGCCGCCUGCACACACUCAUAAAUAGAUCAGAAUUAAAUUAAAUCCAAUCGAUUCACACAGUAAAAGUCUCAAAGUGUCAAUAAGCAGGAAACAGAAUGUGUGUGUGUGUGUGUGUGUGUGUGUGAGAGCAGGGGGCGGGGAGCGGGGGGGGUUCAGGCGCACUCCACAGGCUUUUAUUUUGGAGAGUCCAUCAGAAUCCCGAUGAUUUCAACAAACAUCUGCAGGAUUUUUUUUUAAACAUCUUAGAUCGAUCAGUCCGAUCAGUCCCACUGCUCACCAAGUGUCAGAUUAACCAAUCAGUCUGGGAAUUUUUACACUCAAACUUUUUUUCCUGUUCCUAAUCAGACCAAUCCAUCUACUUCCGAUCAGACCGAUUGCUCUCAUCAGUCCACCUCAGCUCGGACUGAUCUGAACAAUGAACCACAUCGAUAAGACGUUCACUCGAGUCCAACAUCAGAAAUACGAACCAGCCCAACUGGAUGUCUCCUCCGAUUGGUCACAGGGACUCUCCUCCAGGUGUUCCAGGUGUUCCUGGCUGAGCGAACCACAUUUGAGCAGCAGCUUCAGACCGUCCGUGACACUAAAGCAGAUGGUUGUUUCAGAUACUCUGAGCAGAUCAAAGACUGAUCAGAUGGAUCAGUUCGAGCGCCGACCGACAAAAACUCUCAACCUUCACAUUCCUUCGUUAUUCUUCCACAUUUGAA